AACGUGAUUAUUUAUAUUUCAGAUAAAUCUAGUAUGUUAAACUGAUUUCAUGUCUAGCCUAGCUGUCUUCAACAUGUGAAUUCAUCUCAGUCAAAUCUGUUGAAAGCAUAAACUAAGAAGAGAAGAGUGACAUGAACGUUCGUUUUUAACCCAACACAAGUUGAGAAGGUUGUCAGGAUGUCUUCCGGGACGAUUGUUGAUAGAAUAGAUCCUUUUGCAAAGAGGCAGGAAUCCUUGAAGAAGAAACAGAAGAAGAGCCAGGGCAGUUCCCGAUACAGAACAGGAGGAGACGUCGAGCUUACUGCUCUGCCCCUACUCAAAGAUGUUCCGAGCUCCGAGCAGGAGGAGCUGUUUAUCAGAAAGCUGCGUCAGUGCUGCGUCGGAUUCGAUUUCAUGGAUCCUGUAGCAGAUCUCAAGGGGAAGGAGAUCAAGAGAGCCACAUUGAACGAGGUGGUAGACUAUAUAACGGCAGGGCGAGGUGUACUUACAGAACCAGUCUACCCAGAAAUAAUCAGAAUGAUUGCGAGUAAUCUGUUUCGAACCCUGCCUCCUAGUGAUAAUCCAGAUUUUGAUCCAGAGGAGGACGAUCCAACCCUAGAGGCGUCCUGGCCACAUUUAACGCUUGUUUAUGAAUUUUUCCUGCGUUUCUUGGAAUCCCCGGAUUUUCAACCCACCAUAGGGAAGAAAGUAAUUGAUCAGAAGUUUGUUCUCCAACUUCUCGAACUUUUUGAUUCAGAGGAUCCCAGAGAACGGGAUUUCUUGAAAACCGUGUUACACCGAAUCUACGGCAAAUUCCUUGGGCUGAGAGCGUUCAUCAGGAAACAAAUAAAUAAUUUUUUCCUCAGGAAGGUGGAGACCCUCUGCAGCGGGAAAGUAAGGUUUGUUUACGAGACGGAACAUUUUAACGGUGUUGGUGAACUCCUGGAGAUACUCGGCUCUAUCAUUAACGGGUUCGCUCUUCCUCUCAAGGCUGAGCAUAAACAGUUUCUGGUGAGGGUCCUGAUUCCUCUCCAUAAGGUUCGAUGUUUGAGUCUGUAUCACGCACAGCUGGCGUACUGUGUUGUACAGUUCUUAGAGAAAGAUGCCACACUUACAGAGCAGGUCAUCAAAGGACUUCUCAAGUUUUGGCCUAAGACAUGUUCACAAAAAGAGGUGAUGUUCCUGGGAGAGAUCGAGGAGAUCCUGGACGUGAUAGAGCCAGCACAGUUUGUCAAGAUACAGGAACCUUUGUUCAGACAAAUUGCUAAAUGUGUUUCUAGUCCUCAUUUCCAGGUUGCCGAGAGAGCUUUGUACUUCUGGAACAAUGAGUACAUAAUGUCCCUGAUAGAGGAAAACAACCAAGUUAUUAUGCCCAUCAUGUUUCCAGCACUCUACAGGAUUAGCAAGGAGCACUGGAACCAGACUAUCGUGGCCCUGGUGUACAAUGUCUUGAAGACCUUCAUGGAGAUGAACAGCAGACUAUUCGAUGACCUAACGGCUUCAUACAAGGCUGACAGACAAAAAGAGAAAAAGAAGGAACGGGAGCGGGAGGAUCUCUGGAGGAAAAUGCAAGAUUUAUCCAUUCAGAACGCAAACAAAGAAGGAAUCAGUUUAGAUCUUCUUCAGCUGAACCAUGUUGAUGGUUGACACUACGUGCGUCCACGCUCAUAGGCGCGCGGCAAUGCUCGUAGCUAAACGCGCGUCCGUGCCCCCAGCCUGGCGCAAGCGCCAUGUUUCUAUCAACAAACUCGGUCUUUUGAGAGAAUAUAGAUAAAUAGGUUUUAUUAGGGCCCCCAGGGCAGGCCCCUUGGAGCCCCUAGAUUUCAUUGCCCCGGGGGACCCUUUGUUUAUGUGUGCGAUAUUAUUAUGUCGUCAAAAGUGAACCGUUAAGAACCAUACUGAGUGAAACCAGUUUUAAUUUAUCUAGACACCUUGUAGGAUUUCAACUGUUUUGUGUUCACAGACUCACCCGCCAAUUGAUAGCGGUUUCCCGCCGCCUGGGGAAAAUGGCUAGAAAUACCCGCCGAUGUUGGAGGAUUUUCCGCCAACUAAGGAAAACGGAGGGAAAUCACCUAAAUUAAGUGUAUGAUCACUGUUCAGUAAAAUCGGCAGAUUCUACACCUAGGAAACUGUCGGAACGUUUUGAUGAUUCUUUGUUUGUUAAUAUUACCGUUUGCGGUUUCAACUAUCAUACAUACAGACAUACAGAUAAAUAUUUGUAGAAACUUCGAAAAAAAUGAACCAGUUAAUGUAAUGUCUAUGGUUAGAUUAAUAAUUUCUUCAUUUCUAAAAUCUGUUAUUAAAAGCUUUAUUUCGGGUUCCUUAUGCGCGUUGCCGCAAUCUACAUUUGAAACAAGAAAGGCAUUACUCAGGAGGUCUUGGCUUAUUUCUUCACUUGGCAAAAAAAAGGUUGAUUCGAAGCCUGUUUUACAACGUUUAAAAUCAAUUUUGCCAAACAAAAAUUCUGAAAUAAAAAGCAAUAUAGAUUUAUUUACCUAAAAUUGGCAGGUUAUCACCAUAUACACUUAACAAAGUCCAAAAUUCAAACCACAGCCGCCUUUGAUCAGAAAUUUGUACUUAGGCUAGGUUUUGAGGUUUGAAUUUCGCGCUCUGAAUUUUAUGUACACAGAAACCCUAACCGUGUUUCCUCCAAAAUACUCCUGUUCUUACCAUCUCGUGGUUGGCUGGGUCUAAGCUAACCUUUAAGCCCCAGUGAUCCUUUAUAUUGUUAAAUUACAGAUAUAAAUAAAAUUAAAACUUGAUUUUA
rnacentral:misc_RNA from 1 species